rnacentral:lncRNA from 1 species
UCCCAGCUUUUUUCUUUGUUUCUUAAUAUGGCGCAUUGCCAUGUAAUUCUUUUGUAGUUGAGAUGGACAUUAUCAUCUUAAUUAGAUAUAGUUGGCCUGUUUGAUACUAGAAAUCUGUUUUACUUAAAAACGAAUAUACUCAUAGGAGGUCAAAAUGAAGCCAGUUUGAUAUUUUAUUCUGCGACUUGCUCAUGUCAUUUAUUUAAUCCAAUUACAUUGAUAUAUGCUCACAAGGUAAUUUUGUUGGUGACCACACUACUAAUCUUCAAGCCGAUUCCUGCUUUAGUAUGUUUUGGAGUUUUGGAGUUCUGCUGCGGUGGUUCUCACAUGAUAUUCCAAAUGAGGUAAUCAUAAGAGAUUUUUCGUAGUUUAUCACAGUACACCUGCCAUAGUUUCUGUGGAGUUAUAAUAGAGUUGAGUCUUGCUAUAUAUAUGAUGAAGGAAUUGUGAACGGUCCCACCCUAAUUUAUUCUAUCUUAUCAUUUAAACUUCCACGUUAGUUGUAAUUCAACUUCAUCAUAAAUUUGUUGACAUAUAAAUCAUUUUCCAGUAGAGUUUUUUUUUUCCAUCCCAGAUUGGAUAUAAAGGAGAUAUGUUGUGGUCAAAUAGCGCUAAUCUGAUUAGUUUGAUAGUCCAUGGCUCACAUGAUUCUAAAAUUAAAUAUCCUUCCGAAAUUGCAAAUUUCAAAUUUUGUUUAAUGGGCUUUCUGUACUUUGUGGAACAGGUGUCCAAGAGCGCAAAGCAAGUCGACUGAGCAGCGAACUCUUAGUUCAUUGUACACAAAGCUCAACCCUCACCUAUAUACAUAUAUGCAUAUACUUCCGACGAAUUGAGUCAAUGAGUAAUCACUAAGUAAGACCGUAUAAAUUAGAGCACGGUGGAUAUGUAUUAGUGCAAGUAGUAUGAUCUAUAUGUGCCAAUGUAUCUUUUAUAUUUGUUUCUGGUUAUGGAGCAAUUACCUACCUACCCUGUAAAAUAGUGUUUCAUAAUGUACUUCAUGUC